UAGACGUGUCUCAGACUCAAUUCCUUGGUGA
rnacentral:piRNA from 1 species